UGACCCAGUGAUGAUGACAAAGCGCACAGAGGGAGGUGAGGUGCUGAGUGUGGCUUGCUUUCUUCUCUCUACUCUUCCUUUUCUUUCUUUCUCUCCUGUCUUAAGUCAUUCUCACUCCUGUCCCAAUGAGUGGUAAGAUUAUGAGAUCUGAGGGUCA